rnacentral:rRNA from 1 species
GACGAACGCUGGCGGCGUGCUUAACACAUGCAAGUCGAACGGAAAGGCCCUGCUUUUGUGGGGUGCUCGAGUGGCGAACGGGUGAGUAACACGUGAGUAACCUGCCCUUGACUUUGGGAUAACUUCAGGAAACUGGGGCUAAUACCGGAUAGGAGCUCCUGCUGCAUGGUGGGGGUUGGAAAGUUUCGGCGGUUGGGGAUGGACUCGCGGCUUAUCAGCUUGUUGGUGGGGUAGUGGCUUACCAAGGCUUUGACGGGUAGCCGGCCUGAGAGGGUGACCGGCCACAUUGGGACUGAGAUACGGCCCAGACUCCUACGGGAGGCAGCAGUGGGGAAUAUUGCACAAUGGGCGGAAGCCUGAUGCAGCAACGCCGCGUGCGGGAUGACGGUCUUCGGGUUGUAAACCGCUUUCGCCUGUGACGAAGCGUGAGUGACGGUAAUGGGUAAAGAAGCACCAGCUAACUACGUG